rnacentral:rRNA from 1 species
UACGUAGGGGGCUAGCGUUGUCCGGAAUCAUUGGGCGUAAAGCGCGUGUAGGCGGUCCGGUAAGUCCGCCGUGAAAGUCCAGGGCUCAACCCUGGAAUGCCGGUGGAAACUGUCGGGCUGGAGUCCGGAAGAGGCGAGUGGAAUUCCUGGUGUAGCGGUGGAAUGCGCAGAUAUCAGGAGGACCACCGAUGGCGAAGGCAGCUCGCUGGGACGGUACUGACGCUGAGGCGCGAAAGCGUGGGGGAGCAAACAGG